rnacentral:lncRNA from 1 species
UUUUCCCCCUCACUCCAGAUUCUGCCUGAUCAAUGCAGGAGUCCUGUAUCUCUACUUCAGCAACUACCUACAGAUCGACGAGGAAGAGUAUGGUGGUACAUGGGAGCUCACCAAAGAAGGGUUUAUGACGUCAUUUGCCUUGUUCAUGGUCAUUUGGAUCAUCUUUUACACUGCCAUCCACUAUGACUGAUGGCAUUUGCUCCCGUCCCUUCUGUCCAGUCCAAAGGACCCUUUUAUUACAGCACAGAUACAUGCUUAUUGGGGCACUCCUGCUGUGUGGAACCGAGAAGACCCAGUCUCCUGGACUUAGAAUCAGCGUGUUGGGCAUCAGUGUUUUCCUGCAAGGGUUGUGAAACUUUUUAAAGAACCAUCCACCUUUGGGGAAGCAUUUCUGAGUUUGUCCAUUGUCAACAAUCUGUCCUUGGAUACCAUCAUGUAACAGCUGUUUGCCAAGUGGAGCUGCUGUUGAAUCUGAUGCGCCUCUGGAUCCGGAUGAAACAUUGUCUUCCUUGGUUCUCCGUCAGGUGUACAGUUUUUAAACAUCACUGCAUCUCAAGUCUUCUGAAAACACCAUGUGCGUGGUCCAUGGUACAAUACAAGCAGCCAUCUACUAAGUUCCAUUGUAGGAUGUUUUCAGAUACUUGAAUAAACAAAUCUUUAACUG